rnacentral:rRNA from 1 species
AUAGCGUAUAUUAAAGUUGUUGCAGUUAAAAAGCUCGUAGUUGAAUUUUGGACUUGACUGAGUGGUCUUAUCGUAAGAUGAGUUACUACUUUUUUUAGUUGAGUCUUUCCUUCUGGGGAACUAGCGUGCUCUUAGUUGAAUGCGUUAAGGAUCCAGGAUUUUUACUUUGAAAAAAUUAGAGUGUUCAAAGCAGGCAUUUGCUCGAAUACAUUAGCAUGGAAUAAUAGAAUAGGACUUUGGUUUUAUUUUGUUGGUUUCUAAGACCGAGGUAAUGAUUAAUAGGGACAGUUGGGGGCAUUAGUAUUUAAUUGUCAGAGGUGAAAUUCUUGGAUUUAUGAAAGACUAACUUCUG